rnacentral:tRNA from 1 species
GCGGGGGUGGCGGAGCCUGGUCAAACGCGCAGGACUGAGGCUCCUGUAGCUUUAGAGCUGCGUGAGUUCAAAUCUCACCCCCCGCA